GUUAAAUUUCCGGUCUGGUUUUUUCAAGUUGGAGUUAGGGUUUCUUGCCGCCUCCUAUGUAUGCCACUCUUAUCCGAGGGUUGGGCUUCAUCGAUUCGUGGUGCAAGCUGAGGCAUUCAACUCGCCGCGCUGCAAACUGAGGCAUUCAACUCGCCGCGCUGCUGUCUAUUGUUUUUGGAUUGGUGCCCCUGUGUCGGUGGGGGAUCGCUUGGUGAUGAAUGAUAAUAAUCGUCGAAGCUCGAGCUAUAUCGUGUCAGAUCUGCUUCAGGGAGGCGAUGAUGGAAGGUAGGAAUUCCUCGGUGGGUUAUUUCUAUCCCCGAUUCGGGACGGAAAGAGGAGAUUAGGAAGAAUAUGUAUACUUCUCUUGCUCCUCACUCACCACCUGACAAAGAAAAAAGAAGCUGCCCUGGAGAUCCAUCCUUCAGUGGGUAGUAGAAUGAUGCAACUUGCGAUGAAGGUGUUCUAGCUGAGUCAGCUCUUUUGGUUUUGAAUAGCAAUCCUUAACAUGAAUAGAGUUCCCUUGGUAUUCAAGAUCAUUCUGCUCUUUAUUUGAAAAGUUUUCUCCUUCAUCAAAACUAAGUCGAAUGCUUUCUUAUUGAACUAGCACAGAAGACAUUCUCUUCGUAUAAGGUAUGCAAUAAUUUCCAAAAAAAAUAUAUAUAGCUGAUUUAAUUGCUAGCUAGGAAUAUGUUCUAAUGCAGCAAAGACCAAAAAAUCAUUGGCAUGAGCUUAAUUUCCUGCUACAUCCAACAGGAUAAGAUAUAGCUGCUGGUGAGUAAACUUUCAAUUGGCAAGUUUAAUUUCUAUUUUCAAACUAAAAAUUAGCCAUUGUCUAACUAUCUGUGAUCUUUGAAGUGGUCUUCACGUAAGCCAUUGUUUAACACUUAUAAUAAGAGAGUACAAAUCAUUGUGAAUUCAUUCCAUUCAUGUAUACCAUAGAUUAGUUUCCAUGCUCAUUCUUUAAAGCUGCAAAAUUAUUUUGGCCAGUUUCUAAUAUCAGGAUUGUUGCAGCAGAGAUUUUACCUUUUGCAGCAAUCAUGCAACUGGAAGUGAUAAAAGAAAUCGUUUUCAUCCUUUGCUUCGUCCACAUGGGCCGAACUUCUCGUCGCUAGCAAAAAGGAGCUAGCGGCCGAUGCUUCAUGGAGGCCGAAGUUGGAAGUGGCUAAGAGGAGACAGAGUUAUUAGUAUUAUUAUUAUUUUAAAUUUUGGUUUUUGAUGUAGAUUGUAGUUAUUAAAAAAAUUUCGGCUUCCAAUCAACUAAUCUGAUUUCUAGAUC